rnacentral:rRNA from 1 species
AACAGAUUUACUUCGGUAAUGACGUUAGGAAAGCGAGCGGCGGAUGGGUGAGUAACACGUGGGGAACCUGCCCCAUAGUCUGGGAUACCACUUGGAAACAGGUGCUAAUACCGGAUAAGAAAGCAGAUCGCAUGAUCAGCUUUUAAAAGGCGGCGUAAGCUGUCGCUAUGGGAUGGCCCCGCGGUGCAUUAGCUAGUUGGUAAGGUAAAGGCUUACCAAGGCGAUGAUGCAUAGCCGAGUUGAGAGACUGAUCGGCCACAUUGGGACUGAGACACGGCCCAAUACUCCUACGGGAGGCAGCAGUAGGGAAUCUUCCACAAUGGACGCAAGUCUGAUGGAGCAACGCCGCGUGAGUGAAGAAGGUUUUCGGAUCGUAAAGCUCUGUUGUUGGGUGAA